rnacentral:ncRNA from 2 species
CCAAUAGCGUAUAUUAAAGUUGUUGCCGUUAAAAAGCUCGUAGUUGAACUUCGGGGUCUACCCAUUGGUCAGGCUUAAUUGUCUGCACUGGUGAGAUGGAUCUCUACCUUCUGAGGAACUUUCAUGCCAUUUAUUUGGUGUGAUGGGAAAUCAGGACUGUUACUUUGAAAAAAUUAGAGUGUUUAAAGCAGACUAUCGUCUGAAUACAUUAGCAUGGAAUAAUGAAAUAGGACGGACUGAUUCUAUUUCGUUGGUUUCUAGGAUCACCGUAAUGAUUAAUAGGGAUAGUUGGGGGCAUUAGUAUUCAAUUGUCAGAGGUGAAAUUCUUGGAUUUAUUGAAGACUAACUACUGCGAAAGCAUUUGCCAAGGAUGUUUUCAUUAAUCAAGAACGAAAGUUAGGGGAUCGAAGACGAUCAGAUACCGUCGUAGUCUUAACCAUAAACUAUGCCGACUAGGGAUCGGACGAAGUUAAUUUUAUAAUGACGCGUUCGGCACCUUACG